AAGGCAGCAAAGGUUGAUGCUGGCUAAUUCAGAGAUGACUUGAUGUUCCCAUGCUGCGGACCAUCCCAGCCGUGACACCACUCUACCUUUGACUACCUGGCUGUCACUGAGGAUCUACACCCAGUAGAGGACUGUGACUAUGGUCCCACCGAUGGAGCCAGCGCAUCUGUCUUCAGUGGGCUAAGUGGCAAGGCCACAGGUGUAGUGAGGCCAUAAAGCCUGGGUAAGGCCAUGCUGUGGCCUUGUCAGACAUCUCUUUAAAAGUCAAGGCUCCAUCAAAACGCGUUGCUGACCUCCCUCACCAUCUGUCACACCAGCGAGGAGAGGAUGGAGCUGAAGGAUCCCUGAACAAGCAGGCUCUGCGGCUGGACGUGACAAAGCAGGGCUGGAGGGAAGACCACCUACUGCCUUUUUGUGCUGAUACAUGGGUCUCACCAGUGAGCCAGCCUACCCCAAAAAGUCUGCGAUGGUGCUGAAACCAGUCCUUCAGCUGGGGAUCCUUCACAGAGCUCCCCAUGACCCUGCUGUGACUUGACCAAGGGGGUCCUCCUGCAGCACUGCCCAGGGUGCCCGGCACUGCCUCCUGUGUGUGUCCAGCCGUGCCACAGUGGGCCCCCGGAGCAUCGCGGCUCUCCCAUGGCAACAGCACGUGUGCAGUGCGAUGCAGGCAGGUUGCAGCUGCUUCCCUGUGUGCGCAGGCAGGAAAGGAUUUUUCUGAGGUCCAGGACAUGUGAGGAGACCUUCUUCCAAAGCUGGCCUUCCCUGGCCAGCCAAAUAAAUACAGCCAGCCAGCCACAAAUGGCCACGUUCACAAACGUCUCCUCCCUUGUUGGCAGAGCAUCUGCAAACAG